AUGUCAGCCCCACUACCACCUAUGUCUGCAUUCACCUUCCCUCCUCACCAGUCUAGCUGCCUGGAGUUUUCAUACUUCACCUUCUCUCCUCACCAGUCUAGCUGUCUGGAGUUUUCAUACUUCACCUUCUCUCCUCACCAGUCUAGCUGCCUGGAGUUUUCAUACUUCACCUUCUCUCCUCACCAGUCUAGCUGUCUGGAGUUUUCAUACUUCACCUUCCCUCCUCACCAGUCUAGCUGCCUGGAGUUUUCAUACUUCACCUUCCCUCCUCACCAGUCUAGCUGCCUGAAGUUUUCAUACUUCACCUUCUCUCCUCACCAGUCUAGCUGUCUGGAGUUUUCAUACUUCACCUUCCCUCCUCACCAGUCUAGCUGUCUGGAGUUUUCAUACUUCACCUUCUCUCCUCACCAGUCUAGCUGUCUGGAGUUUUCAUACUUCACCUUCCCUCCUCACCAGUCUAGCUGCCUGGAGUUUUCAUACUUCACCUUCCCUCCUCACCAGUCUAGCUGCCUGGAGUUUUCAUACUUCACCUUCUCUCCUCACCAGUCUAGCUGUCUGGAGUUUUCAUACUUCACCUUCCCUCCUCACCAGUCUAGCUGCCUGGAGUUUUCAUACUUCACCUUCUCUCCUCACCAGUCUAGCUGUCUGGAGUUUUCAUACUUCACCUUCCCUCCUCACCAGUCUAGCUGUCUGGAGUUUCCAUACUUCACCUUCUCUCCUCACCAGUCUAGCUGUCUGGAGUUUUCAUACUUCACCUUCCCUCCUCACCAGUCUAGCUGCCUGGAGUUUUCAUACUUCACCUUCCCUCCUCACCAGUCUAGCUGCCUGGAGUUUUCAUACUUCACCUUCUCUCCUCACCAGUCUAGCUGCCUGGAGUUUUCAUACUUCACCUUCUCUCCUCACCAGUCUAGCUGUCUGGAGUUUUCAUACUUCACCUUCCCUCCUCACCAGUCUAGCUGCCUGGAGUUUUCAUACUUCACCUUCCCUCCUCACCAGUCUAGCUGUCUGGAGUUUUCAUACUUCACCUUCUCUCCUCACCAGUCUAGCUGUCUGGAGUUUUCAUACUUCACCUUCCCUCCUCACCAGUCUAGCUGCCUGGAGUUUUCAUACUUCACCAGCUGUUGUUUAGUUGGUAAAUAUUGA
rnacentral:lncRNA from 8 species